rnacentral:lncRNA from 1 species
CAAAUCCACAACUUCCUUCAACACAGCCUCCAGAACUUCAGGCUUCUCGUUCUCCCCCAUCUUCCAAUCUCUCUCUCUCUCUCUCUCUCUCUCUCUCUCUCUCUCUCUCUCUAACUGCCUUUCAGUAUCUGCAAUUUUCUCUCUAUAUAUCAUCAAUUACAGAUCACAACCCAUCAAAGAAGACCACAAAAGCAACAGAAGCCUGCACUAUUCAGAGAAAUCAAAGACUACACAGUAAUAAAGACCUGAUAGUAAAGAUCAAAUUGGUAUUUGUAGAGAGAAUGAGGGCUGGCUACCAACCACCUACACCAAAUCUGCAAGCAGUGGAACCGCUGAGAGAGAGAGUGGU